UUGACUAGUAAAUGUAGGUAAGUGAUAUCGGAGUGGUAAUAAAUGCCAGGAUACAUAGGCAAUCCAUUUAAAAGAAUAGUUAUAAUUUAGGGUCAAUGCUGUGGAGUAAAACUUGCUAACAAAAUUUAUGCAAACAACAUAAAAAUUGUAGCAUAUCAAAUAUUAUUGUCCUGAGUUCCCAGAAUGCAAAUAAUGCAAAAUAAGGUGUUUGAAGUGAUUUUAAAAAUAAAGGAGGUACACAGUAAUCUGACAGAUACCAUGCCACCAGCAUUUGGGGACAAGACUUCAUCUACAAUAGUUAAUACAUACCCAGGAAUUCUUCAAUUACCUGGUAACUUCUCUUCUUCUGUUCAGCAAAUAUAGAAGCAUCUUAGCAUGAAGAAUACUCAGUUGAACCUCUCAAAGGAAUUCUGUCCUGUGGAACAACUCUGCUUGCUGCUACUAUUAGUAGGCACAGUGGAUUCCUACAGUAUCAGCUUUUACCAUUUGUAGUCUCUCCCUUUCCCAAACCUUGCCCUUGGGGAAAAAAUAGUUUUUUGCCAUAUUAAAUUGCAAUAUUACAUCUACUUUAGUUGGGCAUAAAAAACUUUUUUUUAUUCUAUCAAAAAUGUAACUGAACUAGAAACCUUUAGAACAAUGGCAGACGAGAGUUGUCUUAUUGUGAGAGAGUCUUAUCAGACUUUAAGGGUGAUAUCAAGUCCUUGAAAUGAGAAAGACAUGGCCAUCUCAUAAAUAUUCCAGAAGGAAUCUGGGUCAUUCUAACCUAGAGAUAAGUUCAUUUAUAUCUCCCCAGAAAGUCAACAUAACUGGAAGCAGCAAAUAAAAAGUGUACAUGUAAAAAAAAAAUCUAAGAAUUAAUUUCCUCCAAAUUAGUUUGAUAGGAUUUCAUUUCACCUGCAAUAUCUUAAAGUGGCGAUUUAAAUACAAAAGUCAGCUAAAGUGGUGAUGUAAAAUUUACAAAGCCUGUCUAAAUUACAAAGCUAGUACAGAAUCUGUAUGGAUUCUGCACAGGCACUUAAAGAAAUGGAAUGCUCUUAUUAAAGUAAAACAUUGCACCUGUUUCACAGUAGAGCCUUUGGUAGUCUAGCAAUUUGCUAAGAGAAUAAAGUUGCUCUUUUCCAAAAACAUUGAAAAACAAUACCAUUUAAGACAAAGUUCAGUAUUCAGCAAGUCUAAAAGAUCUUAUGGAAUAAUUGUAGCAGAAAAGACCUUGUCGGGGUUGGAGAUCUAUUCAUGUCAUCACUGACACACACAACUUAUCCAGUUGUGUAGAGGUAUAAGGUUGCAUGUUUUGAUCUGACAUAAAUUUAGCUUCAUGUUAAUUUCUAUUUGGUACCAACAUAGGAAAACAAAAUCUUUUCAAUAAAUAAAGCUUUUUUUUCCAUAGGAUCAAAGUCUUGAUAACUGCCACUUCCCUCCUGGAAUAGGACGGGCAAAGGAGGGUGGUGGUAUUGGUGUUAGCAGGACAGGAAGGAGAACUUAAACCUCAUAAUCUGUACAAUUAAAAUCAUUGUGUCAAUUCUAAUCUUUUCCCCCCUUUCAGACAUUUAAGGAUGCUGUCAAGUCAAUGGAGUUCUGGUUUUAGUGGUUGCUUCAGUGAACAUUCAACGCUGUCGGCCUUUCACGGAAGAUAGCUAUCAAACCAGCACACAAGGUUUCUUCCCCCUCUCCCCCACUCAUUUGCAGAGCUUUACAAAAAAGGUCACAAUCAACAUUCAUUGCUGUCGGUGGGUUUAACUAUGCGGACAAGCUCACUGAACAAUGAAUGCAACUGUGGCCCCACUUUUUGCGAUCACAAUCAAGAAAAACAACAGUUCAGAAAGCAACACUAAAAAGGUAGAAAAUUUUUGUAUGUAUAUCUUAAACUUCUCUGAUCAUAAGACCGUUGAAUAUUUUCAGGAUUUUUUUAUUUAUUUUUUUGAAGAGAUUGGUUUGAUUCAAAGGUUCAGUAUGUAAUCACUGUCUUCAAGAAGAACAUCCUUUUUUCUUGAUUUCAUUACAACGUAAAGACUGAUUGAUCUGAACAUAUGUCCUAUUUGCUACAGAUACAGAAGUGUUGGUAUAGAAUUUCUCUCUCAACUUCUGAGGAGUUUGUGUGUUGGAGGAGAGAUGUUUAGAAACUCCUCUUUAAACUUAGGCAGUGUAACAUUGCACAGAGGGGGAGAUGGUUGUCCUAGCCAAGGCAAAACAAAACAAAAAAAGGAACGGGAUAAAAUUAGUUAUAUGAUGGAGCCCUAGUUCAAAGGAUACUGAUAAUAUAGUAUUCCAAGACAAGGAAUAAUUGAUUUCUUUGUGAAGUUUAUAUUAAACACCUAAUAAAUAUUCAAGGACACAAGCCUCAUUGGAAUUGCCCCUGUCCCAAGAUAAGCCAGAACUAGGUAGCUGGCAUUCCUCAUAAACAAAUUAACAAAAAAAAUUAAUAAACUUCAGGUCAUUCUUUCAAUUAGGGGAAUGAGUUUUGACUACUUUUGCCACAUUGCUAUUUCAUGCUUCCAGGUAUAAGAAAGGAAAAGAUAUAAAAAAAGAAAACGGAAGCAAACUUCUACCUCCUCUACCAGUGUGGGUUAGCACUAAUUUCUAGAACCAACUGAACCACUAACAAAAUUUAUGCAAUUAUCUGGGCCAGAUGCAGCCAUUAGGUUUGAUCUUUACCAAACGAGUGUUGAAAACAGAAACUAUUGAUACGACAAUAGGGAAAGAUGCAUCAUAAUAUCCAUUUCUCCCUUCUAUGAGUUCCAUUGGUAAAGACUUCAGUACCUCAAAAAUCACACCACCUUUCUUGCCCUAAUGCUUACCCAAUUCACCAAUCUUAAUUCUUACCUGGCUCUCAGCCCUGUAGCAUCUGAAUAUGGAGAUCUCAUCAAUUUCACAGUACUGUAGUCAUAAAUUUACAUUUUCUUCAAGAACUUGAUAUUCUUGAUGUAAUUAAAGAAUGAUAAAAAAUACAUGACAGAUCUGACUUGGACCCCUUGCAAGACGAGAAACAGAUCCAUAAACAGUUAUCCAGAAAUCUAAGGGCAUGUUCUCCUGAAAGGAUGUGCCUUUUAAUGAACACUAGUAUUUUAGAAUACUUUUUUUUUUUUCCAAUGACGACUGUGAAGAGCAGGUCUAGAGGUACUGUUCUUGAAAACAAAUGGUUUGGUUGGGUUACUUUAUUGGCACCUUUGCUGAAUGUUUUUUUUCUUUGGCUGCUUCUUUGAAGUAACGCACACACCCGCUGACUAUAUUCUCUUGUAUGUUCUGCAGUGAUGGCACCCUGGAAUUUCUACAGAAUCACUUACUGAGGUACUCAGACAUGAUCUUAAUAAAAGGUUGCAUCCACAAAGCUGUCUUGUAUCUGAAAGCUGAACCUUUCAUAUGAAGUUGCAGCUAGUGUCCUGGUGAAGUUGGUGUUUAGAAUUAGGUAAUGACAUGGGAGCAAUGCAUAACAUGUUGGAUUCUCCGGACAUUAUCACACCUCCUUAAUAUUAGAUGUAUUUUAUUAUAUAUUUAUAAACAGACAUGAUACUUAUAAGAUGACGACCCUGGAACUUGGCAACACUACCAUUUUAUCUACAUUGUGAACUUUUGCCUGCAGAACUGUGGUAGGCAGUGGUUUGAGGGAACACACCCUGUAGCAAACACAGUAUUGGCAAUAAAAAAGGGCUUCUGCCAGCAGAGCUGUUAUUCAGGGCAGCUGGCAUGUCUCUUGACAGCAAAAAUCUCCUUCUGCCAAAAUAGCUGCAUCCACGCCAGGAGUUGGAACUGGAGUUUGCAGCAGGAAACUGAUUUUGGACAUACAUAUUUAAGAAGGUCUUUUUUCCAUAUCUGUGUUAAAAGAGUUCUAAUCUUUUUUGUUUUCUCCAUUUAUUCAAUAAAUAUACAUUUAUUUAUAUUACUGUACUGUAGAAAGGCUUAAGUCGGGAUUGUGUCAGGCACAGUACAGUCACAUGUGAAGACGCCAGCCCUAUAGGACA